rnacentral:lncRNA from 1 species
ACUCCAGGUGAGUGGGUCUUUUCCUUUUUAUAGUGUGUGUGUGUGUGUGUGUGUGUGUGUGUGUGUGUGUGUGUGUGUGUGUGUGAUUGAUAGUUUCCAUUUAUGCAAUUGAAAAAGAAUUCCUUAUGUACGUCUGGAUUUAACUAAAGUUUAUAAGAAUUAGCGAAAUGAAGAGACUUAUGAAAUAUGCUACAACCUACGGGGUGCACAUGUAUGGUAUGAUUAUUGAUGUCAUAAUUAUGUUUACAACUAUGAAUGAUAGUAUGUUGAUUAAAAUUAUUGAAUGGUUAUGGCAUGCUUAUAUUCAUACAGUAUGCUCAUCAUUGCUACACCCAGGUGUUAGUGCUCAGCCAAAGGCCAGGCUAGUCUUUCACGUGUUGUUCACAUCACCAUCGCAUGCUCGCCUUGGA